UGUGUUAAAUACUCAGUCCCCGGCUGGUGAC
rnacentral:piRNA from 1 species